UGUUAGAUUCAUACAUAUCAAUGCUUUAUUUUUUUAGAUUAAGUUUAAUUUAUUGUUUGUAUUUUCUAAUUAUUUAUAUGCUUUUCUUAUCUUCCUUAACUUAAAAUUCUGCAAUGAUAGAUGGUUAAUUAUCUUAUUCGUUUUGCGUGGGAAUGUGUACCAUGUUAAUUUCUGUCGCUUAGGAAAUUCAGUAUAUUAUUAUUAUUAUUAUUAUUAUUAUUAUUAUUAUUAUUAUUAUUAUUAUUCAGAACCAUUGUCUUAUUAUGCUAAUCAGCUUGAGGUCUUUGAGCAUAGUUUUCACUAAUCAUGUGUACUGCUUAACAAGAAAUAAAUCUGAUGGUUCAAUUCCGUGCAAAAUUUAUUGCAACAGAAAAAACUAACUUUUCCUAACUAACAUUAACAAACUCAAUUAACAUAAUUCAAGUAUACAACUGCACAAUUCAAUUAGCACAUGUUGAAUUCUGAUGAAAUGUAUUAGAAGAGUGGUUUGCUGAAUCACUUGAAUUUCAUGAGGCAAAGUUGGAACAUAACAUGCAAGAAUUUCAAUGUUCUCUAAACUGUAAUGUCAUUUCAGGACAUUUGUUUCUGAAGAUGAGUACAGAAAGCAAGACAGUGAAAGCAGAGAAUGAUUUUAAACUAGUUGUGAACUACUCUAAGCACUGUGUUUGGAAAGACCUGAAGAAAGAUCCAUCAGGUGCAGGUGCAAAUGCAGCUUCUAGAGUAAACAUGUCACUAUCUGCCCUUGACCCUUUAUCUGAGAUAGUUUGGUCUCCAAACACAGGUUUCAGCUUAAAUUGUGUUGAUUCAAGUUUCGCUAACAGAAAUAGCAAUCUUUACCAAGAUGUUAGACCAAGCAGCAUGGUCUUUGCUCUUCUACAUGGUGGAAUUUCUAACACUGACUUACCUAUAGAUGAUGUUUUUGUAAAUCCUAUAACGGUUAUAUGCGCGAAAAGCGACGUUACUUCGGCCGAUGCUCCUUCUAGAGUCAUCACUCCAGAAUGUCAAGCACCUAAGGAGAAUGAUACAGAUGAGGUUGACGAAAGGCCUGUUGACAAGUUCUUAACUCAAGAUGAUAAUAAACCAAACCCAAGCAUGGAAGAAAAUCCCUCUCCAAGAAAACUUUGCAAUGGUGGAAUGGGUCUUGCUUCUAAAGCUCCAAUUGAGAAACUUGAAUCAACAGCAGAUAAUGAUUUACAAACAUUGAAUAAUUGCGCAGCAUUGUUUCUAACAGGUAAAAAGAGAUGCAAACUUCAACAAGAGUUAACAACUGGGGGUAAAAGAGUCAAGAAGCAAACUCAAGAGAGUUCAUUUUCGAGAUCCAUGAAAAUUCCAGAAACUUCAGAUCCCAGAUCCAGAACCAGGCAGAAUAGCUCAUUCAUGAACUUGGUUUCAAACAUGAUGAAAGGAUUCUCACAAUCAGCUGCAAAUCCUGAUCACCAUCUUCUCUGGGAUCAUGAUCAGAUUCAGAAUCAUAAUCCUGAGCCGAAAAGUACAGGACUCAAAUCCAAUUUCAAGUGCAUGUCUUGUCCCAUAAAAUCUCCUCGAGGCCUAGAUGUUACUCCAAUAUCAUGUUGUGCAGAGAACAAUAACAGUCUUUACAAACAGUAUUUGCAAUCAAAAGAGUUUGAGGUAAAGAUUAGGCCUGUGAAUUUUCACAGCAGCCAUGAAAACAGGACAAAUAAAGAAGGAAAAGCAAUAAAUUCAUUUCCUACCAUACAGGAUCAGAAUAACAAUGAGAGUGCUGAAUCCUACGCACCUUCGGAGAGGAAGGUAACAGAUAAUUUCUUGAACAAAAUUGAUACUUUUGGAGGUGUAUGGAUGAAUCGAUUCUUGCCAAAAUCAAGUGCUCAAUUGAUAACUUUUGAUAACUCUGUACUUCCAAAUUCACAUAAACACUUUUCUCAUCUAAAAGAAACCAAAGAACAAUGUGUUGAUGAUGACCACUUCCUCAAGAAAGAGGCUUCCGUUGAUGACACACCAAAGGUUGGGUUCAAUCCCAUUACACCUUUCCCUGGAUUCAAAGAUUCAGAACCAAUGGCGGCCAUGUUCGCGAGGAGAUUAGGCGCAAUCAGACACAUAACAAGAGACGCCACAUAUAACUUGCCACACAGGCAUCAAAAUUAACACUAAUGUUUGGAGCUGCAAGUAAUUGGCACUGUCAACUCCUUUGAGAAGGUUUCAGAAAACCGCACCAGCAAAAGAUCCAAUCACUGACAACACUUGAUUCAUCUUCUUUCUGCAUCCUUAUCCUGAGGGAAAAGCAGGCCAAAAUUUCAAUAGUCCAAAUGGAAUAAAAAGCAAUUAGCAAGGAUGAUUGGGCUGAAAGCAAAAAUCAGAAGCCCAAGAAAAAGCAAAAGAUAGAAGCCAAAGAAAUCAGAUGGGCCAAACGGGUUCCAUGAACCAAACCGAUCCAAGCCCGAAAUUGAUUUUCAAUUUUCCACCAUCUUUUGCUUAACCAAAAGCAACGUUCCUCUCCUCUCUAAUCAAGUCACAUCAAGACUUCAGAAAAGUAAGAAAGAGAAAGAGAUAAAGCUUCCUCCCUAAGCUAGUAACCAAAGAAGCAAGAGAGAGAGAAAUUUAAGCUUGAAGCACAGAAAGCUAAAACAGAAAAUCCAAACCAAAUCAAGCUUUGGUUAAAGGUAAUCCAUCUCAUCUUGCAUGCAUCAGAUCUUCUUCUCUUCUUCCCAACUCUCUGCUCUAUCCAAAAAUGGCAUUUAAGGGAAAGUUGUGCUCUGCCCUAUUCUGCUUCACAUCUACGGUCACAAGUGAUACUUGGGGACCAAGUAGUUUUUCAAUGGCUAAGAUCAAGUUGACCAUGAGAAGAUUUCCAUGGUUGCUGCUUUGUGGCUUUCAGCCAAGAUGAGAAAGUCAGAGGGAAAGAUUCUACUCUGAGGAUUAAAGAGGAAAAGUGAACAUGUGGGUUGGUAAAGCUCAAGGCUCAAGGUGUUGACCUUGAAAGAAGAACCAAGCAACAUACAAGGAGAUAAAAAGAAGCUUGCUGUUCAUUCAGAGGCAAGGAGAGAAAAGCAGAGUUUGUGAGUUGUGUUUUGUAAAGUUCCUCUACUUGGAUAAUGCUCUCUUUCAAAGAAGCAUUCGGCCAACACUGAAGAACUGUAUCUGAGGUUUGCAAAUCUGGUUUUGCAAAUAGCAAAGAGGUUGCUGAUGAAGUCAAUCUCCUUCAUGUUUUACUGAUUGUAAUGUACUUUUCCAAGUUUAUCUUUCUGUAAUUUCUUGUGAGAAAAGGCAUUGUGAGAAAGUUCAAGUAAAAGCCAUGAGUAGAAAAAGGCUGAGUGAUACAUUUGAGAGAAAAGCCUAGAGUUAUUUUUCUGAUUUCUUUAGGUUGGAUAAGUGUUUUGUAUCUUGUACCUGUUUGGUAUCCCUUUCUUAGUUGGGUUAGCACUAAGAGUGAAUAGUUAGGAGUUAGCAUAGCCAAUGUCAAGUUAGGAUAGAACUUGAGUGUGAAAUUGGUGUAUGUAAUUCUGUAAACUAUAGUGAAAUUCUUCCAUAAUUGUGGAGGAGACUAGAUGUAGGUUGCAUGUCACAAGGCAACCGAACCAGGAUACAUGCUGGUGUUCACUUUUCUCUUUUCUGCUGAGUUCUGUUUUCUGAUAUUCAUGAGACAAAAAUAAAUUGUCUCAUAAAUUUCUGCUGCUGAGUUCAAACAGAAUCAGAAUUGUAAUUUUGUUUAAAAAGGCCAUAAUAGCAACUUAAAAAGAAAGGCAUAGAUUCAACCCCUAUUCUCUAAGCCUACCACAACCUUCAAUUGGUAUCAAGAGCUAAGGUCUCAAGAAUCAAGCUUAACCGCUUGGAGCAAAGAUCCAAUGGCGAACAACUUGGGCACAACCACAAUUGCUUACACCCUCACUGAAGGCCAGUCAAACAACCGGCCACCUUUCUUCAACGGGAAGAACUAUUCCUACUGGAAAGAAAGGAUAAGGAUCUUCAUCCAAUCCAUUGACUACAACAUAUGGAAGAUCGUUGUGAGUGGUCCCAAGAUCCUAACAAAAAUAAGUGCUGAUGGAGUGGUGACUCCAAAAGAAGAAGCUGAAUGGAAUGAAUAUGACAAGAAGAAGAUAGAGCUGAACGCUAAAGUAAUCAACCUUCUUCAUUGUGCUAUCAGCUUUGAAGAAUACCGGAAGAUGUCUAGAUGCAAGACAGCCAAAGAAAUCUGGGAAAAACUCCAGGUUACACACGAAGGCACCAAACAAGUAAAAGAAACGAGGAUUGAUAUGUUGCGAAAAGAGUACGAGAUGUUUAGCAUGAAGGAUGGAGAAAGCAUUGAUGAAGCAUUUGAGAGAUUCUCAAUCAUAAUCAACAACCUUGAUGCUAUGGGUACAAACUAUACAGAACAAACCUAGGUGAGAAAACUCCUUAGAAGCCUCACAAAAGAAUGGGAAAACACUGCCACUGUCCUAACUGAGAGUAACAACAUAAGUCCCAUAACCUAUGAUGAGCUGAGAGGA